UACAGAGGGUGCGAGCGUUAAUCGGAAUUACUGGGCGUAAAGCGCGUGUAGGCGGCUUUGCAAGUCGGGUGUGAAAUCCCCAAGCUUAACUUGGGAACUGCAUUCGAGACUGCAUUGCUAGAGUAUGGGAGAGGGAAGUGGAAUUUCCGGUGUAGCGGUGAAAUGCGUAGAUAUCGGAAGGAACAUCAGUGGCGAAAGCGACUUCCUGGACCAAUACUGACGCUCAUGUGCGAAAGCGUGGGGAGCAAACAGG
rnacentral:rRNA from 1 species